GUGGUGGGCGUGUCUGCUGCAGUGAUGCCUGACGGCUAUGGGAGUGAUCAGUGAGUAACGCAAAGAGGGGGAGGGGCCAACUAACCAAGGGGUGUAAUAUAAGUUUGUGAUUUGUAAGCCCCUCUUUUGGUUGUUUGUCCUGAAGGAGAAUUGAAAUGUAAAUUGCAAUUGUGUUUGUGCGUGUGUAGUGUGUAAAUUCUUUUGAUUUGAUCACUCUUAUUUUCCUUUAGGUGUUGGCUAAGAGACAAAAAUGGCUUCCCAUGGAGUUUUGUUGGACCCGUUGUCUUUAUCCUUGUGGUGUGUACAGAUCCAUAAUUACCAAAAUGUAUGUCUGUAGAUUUUAUCAUAUUGUCUGUUUUUUUUUUUUUUUUUGUUGAAUGUUGAUAAAUACUGAUUGACUAAUCCAUAAACCCAAAUAUGCUCUAUUGGUAAAGCAACAAUUGUAUCUGUAAUCAGAACCAUAAACCCAGAUAUGCUCUACCAAACCAGAACAAAAUGUUAAAUGCUUUAAAUAACGAUAUACAUGCUCAGUUUCCUAUAUUUCCUUUUCAGUGCAAUGUCAUCUUCUUCACUGUCAUCUUCAUCGGCUUCAGCAGCAUCAUAUCAAAGGCAAACACUGACACCUCAAAGAUUAAACAAAUGAAGUAAGCAUGAGUGGUAUAUGGUAAAUAAUAAUUAAAGUAAAAUAACAGACAUAUUGUAGUUCACAUUGAACCAUAGGGGGUGUAGCAAAUAGUUUCACAUAAUAUCAUAUACCAUUGCAUCCCUAUUAUCUAGAUUCUAGACCAUACAACAUAUUAAAGUAAAAUACACACACACACACACACACACACACACACACACACACACACACACACAGACACACCAUACUACACACAAGACCAUACUGAACUUACCAGUGUUGUCCACGUCUUUACUGUAGGAUUCUUAUCAUGAAAACUGCUGUCCAGUUCUUCAUCCUGGGUUGCCCCUGGAUACUCGGUUUCUUCGUGGAAAGCAGCGACAUACUGAACAUUCUCUUCCUUUUCCUCAACUCCCAGCAAGGAACCUUCCUGUUUCUGGUCCACUGUGUUCUCAAUGAGGGGGUUCGGCAGCAAUACAGGAAGUGGUGGCUGAAUCUGAAGCAGGGAUGCAACCCUACUAACCCCUACAAUGCACAUGAAUUAGCUAAAACAACGUCUUCAGGAUAAAUCGAUUUUAAAUCUCUUUGAGAGAUUGAGAGAUUAACAAUGCUUCUGUGCUAUGACAAUGUUAUGAAUCUAUGAUAUGGUUGUUUCUAGCUAUUGAGAGAUUAACAAUGCUUCUGUGCUAUGACAAUGUUAUGAAUCUAUGAUAUGGUUGUUUCUAGCUAUUGAGAGAUUAACAAUGCUUCUGUGCUAUGAGGUGGUCAAUUUUCUGUGAAAAGAGCUUGCAGCAGAAGCAAUACAGAGUAUUGUUUUUCCUUGAAUAUACAAGCCAGCUUCUCUUCAUUUUCUCCCCAUUUACUAAUUUCCUGUAGAAGUGGUUGUGGUGGCAGCUUCUCCCAUCAUCUCUUUUUGGAAAUGUAAAGUCUGGACUGGUCUGGUAUGGUCCUCUGCAAACUAACUCUGUCCUUACCGGAUCACAGAGGGCUGGCCAGUCAGCAGGAUCUAUAGGUUCUCCCUGGAUAUCAGGAAUUGCGGAGGGUGAGGUGUCUGCAGGCGGCAGUGUAGUUUCACUGGUGCCCUGAGUGCUUGAUGUGGUCCUGGAUGUCCCUUCACCUUCACCUGUAUUCAAGCAUAUUGUAUAGCCAGACAAGCGGUGUUUAAUAUAAUAAGUGAAAUGAUCAUGAAUGUGGUUGAAUUUCUUUAAGAAAACAAGCUAUUGUAUUUAACACAUGCUAACAUGUUUCUAUUGUACUUUAAAGUAUGGAUGUGGCUUGAAUAAAUACAAUUAAAUAGACUCA
rnacentral:lncRNA from 1 species